rnacentral:rRNA from 1 species
CGAGCGAACAGGGAAGAGGCCAGCGCUGAAUCCCCCGCUCUGCGAGCGGCGGGAAAUGUGGCGUUUAGGAGCGGCCGUUUACCCGCGCGCCCGCCGCGUUUCAAGUCCUCUUGAAAGGGGCCACGGCCCGCAGAGGGUGCCAGGCCCGUAGGGGCGCGGCGGCGCGCGGGGGGUCGAUUUCUCCUUCGAGUCGGGUUGCUUGAGAGUGCAGCCCUAAGCAGGUGGUAAACUCCAUCUAAGGCUAAAUACGACCACGAAACCGAUAGCGAACAAGUACCGUGAGGGAAAGUUGARAAGAACUUUGAAGARAGAGUUCAAGAGUACGUGAAACCGCUCAGUGGUAAACGGAAGGUGUCCGAGUAAACCAGUCCGGGGAAACUCAAUGUCCCCGCGCGAUUCGGCGGGCCGUCGCCGCCCGGGAUCCGUGCUCCUUCGGGACUCGCCUCGCGCGGUCCACGCGGGGGUUGCGGAGUCCCUCCCGGGCGCGGCGGUCGCUAAUAGCGCGCCCGAGAGGUUUGCGCGAGUCGGCGCGCGGGGGCGUGCACUUUUCCUUCGACAUAGUGCGUCGCGAUCUGCUGGACGGCGGGUAAUCGGCCCGGAUCGGCGCUCCUCGUCGGGACGCGCGCCUCUUUGCGGGGGCGUGCGCUUCCGGCGGGGAACCGUCCGGUGGGUUAAGACCGGUGCGGGCGGCUGCUUCGCGCGGCGCCCCUUAAGUCCGGCGCCUCUGACCGACCCGCCGUGUAAGUCGGGCCGCGUAGUGCGGCGCGCAGUUGACGGCAGUCACGAAAUACGUGGAAAGACAUCCCGACCGCCCUUCGGGGCGGCGGGUCUCUCCGGUGCCACGGCGACCCCCUUCCGGGGGUUCKCCUUCWCAMMCGCGGCCGCGGACGUCAGACGGURCCCGUKKCCGUUCYGGAUAGCCGGCGAGCGUUCGGGSGCGUCCUUCCGASUACGGCCGCGCGGUGAUCAGGGGAGGGCGGGUAUAYUGAGMGUAAAAGCUCYCCSGUGAUGAAUCKGCGGSGCGAGUCUCKGAACACCUUYYGACCCGUCUUGAAACACGGRCCAARRAGUCUCACUUGUGCGCGAGUCAAAGGGAAMUUUWCGAAUCYCGAUGGCGAAGUGAAAGCGAAUGUCUUAAAUUUUUUUUUAAAAAAUUUUUCGGGCGCGGGCCGGGCUCUUACGUUCGGCGGCGCGCCCGGCUGUGGGAGGAUGGCGGGGGCGCGCGCUUAACACACGCGACGCUAACCUCCCGUCCGCACUCCCGUGGCGUCGUUCCGCUCGUCGGACGGCGCCCAAAGAGCGCACACGUUGGUACCCGAAAGAUGGUGAACUAUGCGCGGUCAGGACGAAGCCAGGGGAAACCCUGGUGGAGGUCCGCCGCGAUUCUGACGUGCAAAUCGAUCGUCUGAGCUGCGUAUAGGGGCGAAAGACUAAUCGAACCAUCUAGUAGCUGGUUCUCUCCGAAGUUUCCCUCAGGAUAGCUGUUGCUCAGAGCUCGWGAAAUACGCACCGGAGUCCGAAAUUAUGAGUCUCAUCCGGUAAAGCGAAUGAUUAGAGGCCUUAGGGCCGAAACGACCUUAACCUAUUCUCAAACUUUAAAUGGGUGAGAACGUCGGCAUGCUCGGAGGCGACCCCUACCGGGUGUGAUGCCGGCGAGAGGAUCUGGAGCAAUCAGUGGGCCAUUUUUGGUAAGCAGAACUGGCGCUGUGGGAUGAACCAAACGUAGAGUUAAGGCGCCUAAAGGACCACGCUAAUGGGAAACCAUAAAGGGCGUUGUUUGCUGAUGACAGUUGGGCGGUGGCCAUGGAAGUCGGAAUCCGCUAAGGAGUGUGUAACAACUCACCAACCGAAGCAACUAGCCCUGAAAAUGGAUGGCGCUAAAGCGUCCUGCCUAUACUCUACCGCCGGCGGCAAGGAUGAGGGCGCCCCGCACGUCCCGCGUCGGGUGGACACUCUUUAACCGGAUGUCCAGGAGCCCUGUUAAGCCCCGGUGAGUAGGAGAGUCGCGGCGGCGAGCGCAGAAGGGUCGGGCGCGAGCCUACCUGGAGCCGCCGUCGGUGCAGAUCUUGGUAGUAGUAGCAAAUACUCUAGCGAGGGCCUGGAGGGCUGAUGUGGAGAAGGGUUUCGUGUGAACAGCCGUUGCACACGAGUCAGUCGAUCCUAAGCCCUAGGAGAAAUCCGAUGUAGAUGCGAGCCCGAUCGGAGCGGCGAAUACGGCGGCGGCGACGAGCCUGCGGUGGAGGGGGCCCGAGGCCCCCCACGUGCACCCGAAAGCUCGAUCGUCGUCGCCUCGUUAUUUCAAGCCGCGGGCCGCGUCGGGCGAAAGGGAAUCCGGUUCCUAUUCCGGAACCCGGUCGCGGAACCGUCUCACGUCGGGCCCCCCGUUUCGGCGGGAAGCUCGUCGGGGUAACCCAAAUAGACUCGGAGAAGCCGUCGGGAGGUCGGGGAAGAGUUUUCUUUUCUGUUUGAGCGUUCGGGUUCCCUGGAAUGGUCUAGCACCGAGAUAGGGAAUGGAGCGCGUAGAGCACCG